ensembl:misc_RNA Metazoa_SRP Metazoan signal recognition particle RNA
GCUGGGUAUGGUGGCGCGUGCCUGUAGUCCUGGCUGCUCGGAAGACUGAGGUGGGAGAAUCACUUGAGCCCAGGAGGUCUAGGCUGCAGUGAGCCAUGAUCACACCAUUGCACUCCAGCCUGGGUAACAGAGUGAGACCCUGUCUCAA